UACAGAGGUCUCAAGCGUUGUUCGGAUUCAUUGGGCGUAAAGGGUGCGUAGGUGGCGGGGUUAGUCAGGUGUGAAAUCUCGGAGCUCAACUCCGAAACUGCACUUGAUACUGCCUUGCUAGAGUACUGGAGAGGAGAUUGGAAUUUACGGUGUAGCAGUGAAAUGCGUAGAUAUCGUAAGGAAGACCAGUGGCGAAGGCGAAUCUCUGGACAGUUACUGACACUGAGGCACGAAGGCCAGGGGGGCAAACGGG
rnacentral:rRNA from 1 species